rnacentral:lncRNA from 1 species
AUGCGCAGCGCUGCUGGCCCGCUCUCUGAGGAGCUUUCAAUACUUUGGGGUCAAGUUUGAGGCAGUUGUAACUGUACUGAGUUUAGUUUUGCUAAUAAUGGUAUUCUACGUGUGUCAGCCUCGUGUGGACUUCUGUAAUGACUAAUGGAUAUGUUUAUAUCCUGAGCAUUUGCUGUAGGAAUUUUAAAUGCAAUCCCAAAACUCAAGAUUACCUUAUUUGGAGAAAUAUUCGUGUUACUAUGUUUAAAAUUUAAUAGAACCAUAUUUUACCUUUCACUUUGGGACUCGCACAGGAUGUUUGCAGCUCUUGAUAUACAGGAACUAGAACGUGUCUUUUAAGAGCAUGCGGUUUUAUAAUUACGUGGAAGUAUGCUACGCAAGGGAAAAAAGCCUCUUGCUAGUGUUAAGGGUCUUCAUAAACAGAAACCGCAAGGAACCUGGGAUCUGACAGCUGUUGGAGGAAUGCCUGUGAGGAAGGAGGAGGAACAGAAGAAUGCUUUGAUGUCUUAAAUGGUACAUCCAAACUUAAGUGAAAUAGAGCUGUGAGGACAUUUUGGGGAGAAGUGACCUAGAUAAGCACUGACUGUUGCAUUCAUCUCUCUUCUUGCUGAUUGUGAUGAUUUCCUGUGCCAUAGCCAUUCAAAGUCUGCCAAAAAAGGCCUUGCCUCCUGGAUGGCAUUUUUGAACCCACCCUGGGCCAGAGGGGAGCCCACUUCUUUGAAGACAGAAACACAGGACUGGCAACAUUUACCAUAAGCUGACUGAGCAGCCAUUGGGCCUUGAGUGAACAUUGGUGGUAGCCAGGCAGUACUUGUCUCAGUACUUGCCUCAGGCCUGGGGUGUCGGUGACCACAGGGAGAGCAUCCAUCUGCUUGAGGAAAGGAGAACAAAGAAAAUAAAGGGCUUAAUCUUGCACUUGAUUGCCAGCUCAGCCAUAGUAGAAUACAGCACCAAGUAAAUUCCUAAGGAUCCUGAUUCCAGGUCCUGGCUCCCAGAUGACAUUUUAGGACUUGUCUUGGGCUUAGGGGGAGCUCGUCAUACUGAAGGGAAAAACACAAGCCUGGCUGGAUUUGCCACCAGCUGAAUAAAGAGUGCUUGGGCCUUGAGUGAACAUUGGCAAUAGCCAAGGAGUGGUCACCAUGGACCUUAGGCAAGAAACCCGGUGCCGUGCUGGCUUUGGAUCUGACCCAGCAUAAUCUCACUGGUAUUUUACUUCUUGUCCAUUUACUUUUUAGUUUAUCAUACACACCAUGUUUACUAGUACUAAAACUGUCUUAAAAUAUUGCAAUUUUGACCCUUUUUCUAAUUGACCUUUAUGUUUUUACAAGCACAUUUUAUUACAUAUGAAUGAGACUUUACUAUGUUAUAUGUAACUCUUAAUUCUGUAAAUAAUAGAUUGCUUAUCUGAAAUAUAGCUGAUAUUUGUUUCUUAAUUAUUUGGCUAUUCCCUAUAUGUUAUACUCUACUAAAGAUCAUGGGAUUUAGAUUCAGAAAACUUACUUCCUAGCUCUUAUUAUUUCUGUGAUCUUGCAAAAGAAAACAAAAAUGAACCAUUGUUUUUUUAUCUGUAACAGGAAAUGUACUUCACAGGAUUGUAAUGAGAAUUAAAUUAGAUAAUAUACAUGAAAAAAAAAAAAAAAAA